UCCUCUUGCAUGAUGGUUACAAACUACCAUGGAUCCUAGUAAUAUCUGACCCCUUGAUAAUCUUGCUUCCACUGGAGAACUGAAUGGUAUGUUUCAGUCACCACAAGUCGUGGGGCAGCAGCAACCCCCACGGAAACCUGCUUUUACAGUUUACAUUCAUCCCACCUUCUCCAGGCACUGGGAGCUUGUGCCAAUACAAUGCUGAAAGCCAUUGAGGUGUACGUCCUAUAUUCCUGCUCUGCAACUCAAGAAAUGGUGUGAAUUCUGCUGUUACAUAAAAAUUUUCAAGAAAACACAACAUAGUACCAGCAUUUCAAGUCUGAUAGGAAGGAAUAAUUACUGAAUUUCUCUAUAGAUACAGCACCUCCCUGCCAUAAAACAGCAACAACAACAAAACCAUAGAACUAGGCAGGUCUGGGAUUUAACAAAGCAGCGACAUUUUCUACUUGCUUCAGGACUUUACUAUGGCAUCAUACUUGUACUAGUUUAUGGGGAAAAAGUUCUUCCUGGAACCCCCUUUUUCUCUGAUGGUGCACUCAGCUUCCUUGGAUUUGAAGAUUAGUAGCUUCAGGCUUCCUGAAGGAGAAAGGGAAGCUUCAGAAGUGUACUGCUCAUGUGCUGCUGACACAGCAUGGGUGGAUUUGUGAGAAGGGAAGUGGAGAGGGGAGGACAAUCCCUGUGUGAGAACCACCUUCAGAACAAAAGCUGAGACUUCAAAGCGGGUGAAAAAACCUCUGUAACACUUCUAAAAUGUUAUAAUAAAUGAAGGGAAAAUAACA
rnacentral:lncRNA from 1 species